rnacentral:rRNA from 1 species
UCAAGUAAUUAAGUGCAUGUGGUGGAUGCCUUGGCAGUCAGAGGCGAUGAAAGACGUGAUAGCCUGCGAAAAGCUCCGGGGAGGCGGCAAAUAUCCUUUGAUCCGGAGAUUUCUGAAUGGGGGAACCCACCCGCUAUAAGGCGGGUAUCAUAAGCUGAAUACAUAGGCUUAUGAAGCGAACGAGGGGAAGUGAAACAUCUCAGUACCCUUAGGAAAAGAAAUCAAUUGAGAUUCCCUUAGUAGCGGCGAGCGAACGGGGAGCAGCCCAUUAAGUUAUGUGUGUUCUAGUGGAACGCUCUGGGAAGUGCGAACGUAGAGGGUGAUAUUCCCGUACACGAAAGGGCACACAUAAUGAUGACGAGUAGGGCGAGGCACGUGAAACCUUGUCUGAAUAUGGGGGGACCAUCCUCCAAGGCUAAAUACUCCUGACUGACCGAUAGUGAACCAGUACCGUGAGGGAAAGGCGAAAAGAACCCCUGUGAGGGGAGUGAAAUAGAUCCUGAAACCGCAUGCAUACAAGCAGUGGGAGCACCUUCGUGGUGUGACUGCGUACCUUUUGUAUAAUGGGUCAGCGACUUAUAUUCAGUAGCAAGGUUAACCGCAUAGGGGAGCCGCAGGGAAACCGAGUCUUAACUGGGCGUUAAGUUGCAGGGUAUAGACCCGAAACCCGGUGAUCUAGCCAUGGGCAGGUUGAAGGUUGGGUAACACUAACUGGAGGACCGAACCCACUGUCGUUGAAAAGCCAGGGGAUGACUUGUGGAUAGGGGUGAAAGGCUAAUCAAGCCUGGUGAUAGCUGGUUCUCCCCGAAAGCUAUUUAGGUAGCGCCUCGGACGAAUACCAUUGGGGGUAGAGCACUGUUUCGGCUAGGGGGUCAUCCCGACUUACCAAACCGAUGCAAACUCCGAAUACCAAUGAGUACUAUCCGGGAGACAGACUGCGGGUGCUAACGUCCGUAGUCAAGAGGAAAACAAUCCAGACCGCCAGCUAAGGCCCCAAAAUCAUAGUUAAGUGGGAAACGAUGUGGGAAGGCAUAGACAGCUAGGAGGUUGGCUUAGAAGCAGCCACCCUUUAAAGAAAGCGUAAUAGCUCACUAGUCGAGUCGGCCUGCGCGGAAGAUGUAACGGGGCUAAAACUAUGUGCCGAAGCUGCGGAUGUAUACUUUGUAUACGUGGUAGGGGAGCGUUCUGUAAGCCGAUGAAGGUGUAUUGAGAAGUAUGCUGGAGGUAUCAGAAGUGCGAAUGCUGACGUGAGUAACGACAAAACGGGUGAAAAACCCGUUCGCUGAAAGACCAAGGGUUCCAGUCCAACGUUAAUCGGGGCUGGGUGAGUCGACCCCUAAGGCGAGGCCGAGAGGCGUAGUCGAUGGGAAAUUGGUUAAUAUUCCAAUACUUCUGUGUAAUGCGAUGAGAGGACGGAGAAGGUUAAGUCAGCCUGGCGUUGGUUGUCCAGGUGGAAGGCAGUAGGCAUGCAUCUUAGGCAAAUCCGGGGUGCUCUAUGCUGAGAGCUGAUAGCAAGCUGUACUUGUACAGUGAAGUGGCUGAUACCAUGCUUCCAGGAAAAGUCUCUAAGCUUCAGUUACACAGGAAUCGUACCCGAAACCGACACAGGUGGUCAGGUCGAGUAGACCAAAGCGCUUGAGAGAACUCUGCUGAAGGAACUAGGCAAAAUGGUACCGUAACUUCGGGAGAAGGUACGCUGCUGACGGUGAUGGGACUUGCUCCCUGAGCUGUUGGCAGCCACAGAAACCAGGCCGCUGCAACUGUUUAUUAAAAACAUAGCACUCUGCAAACACGAAAGUGGACGUAUAGGGUGUGAUGCCUGCCCGGUGCUGGAAGGUUAAUUGAUGGGGUUAGCGUAAGCGAAGCUCUUGAUCGAAGCCCCAGUAAACGGCGGCCGUAACUAUAACGGUCCUAAGGUAGCGAAAUUCCUUGUCGGGUAAGUUCCGACCUGCACGAAUGGCAUAAUGAUGGCGGCGCUGUCUCCAGCAGAGGCUCAGUGAAAUCGAAAUCGCUGUGAAGAUGCAGUGUACCCGCGGCUAGACGGAAAGACCCCGUGAACCUUUACUGCAGCUUGACAUUGAACUUUGACCUUACUUGUGUAGGAUAGGUGGGAGGCUUUGAAGUUAGAACGCUAGUUCUAAUGGAGCCGUCCUUGAAAUACCACCCUGGUAAUGUUGAGGUUCUAACUCUGCCCCGUAAUCCGGGGCGAGGACCAUGUCUGGUGGGUAGUUUGACUGGGGCGGUCUCCUCCUAAAGAGUAACGGAGGAGUACGAAGGUGCGCUCAGCGUGGUCGGAAAUCACGCGUAGAGUAUAAAGGCAAAAGCGCGCUUAACUGCGAGACCCACAAGUCGAGCAGGUACGAAAGUAGGUCUUAGUGAUCCGGUGGUUCUGUAUGGAAGGGCCAUCGCUCAACGGAUAAAAGGUACUCUGGGGAUAACAGGCUGAUACCGCCCAAGAGUUCAUAUCGACGGCGGUGUUUGGCACCUCGAUGUCGG